AGUUUGAANNAUGGCUCAGGACGAACGCUGGCGGCGUGCUUAACACAUGCAAGUCGAACGAUGAACCACCUUCGGGUGGGGAUUAGUGGCGAACGGGUGAGUAACACGUGGGCAAUCUGCCCUGCACUCUGGGACAAGCCCUGGAAACGGGGUCUAAUACCGGAUACUGACCUGCCGAGGCAUCUUGGCGGGUCGAAAGCUCCGGCGGUGCAGGAUGAGCCCGCGGCCUAUCAGCUUGUUGGUGAGGUAAUGGCUCACCAAGGCGACGACGGGUAGCCGGCCUGAGAGGGCGACCGGCCACACUGGGACUGAGACACGGCCCAGACUCCUACGGGAGGCAGCAGUGGGGAAUAUUGCACAAUGGGCGCAAGCCUGAUGCAGCGACGCCGCGUGAGGGAUGACGGCCUUCGGGUUGUAAACCUCUUUCAGCAGGGAAGAAGCGA
rnacentral:rRNA from 1 species